rnacentral:rRNA from 1 species
AUUGAACGCUGGCGGCAGGCCUAACACAUGCAAGUCGAGCGGAGCGGCGGACGGGUGAGUAAUGCCUAGGAAUCUGCAUGGGAGUGGGGGAUAACGUCAGGAAACGGGCGCUAAUACCGCAUCCUAUCAGAUGAGCCUAGGUCGGAUUAGCGAGUUGGUGGGGUAAAGGCAUACCAAGGCGACGAUCAGUACCUGGUCUGAGAGGAUGAUCAGGCACACUGUAACUGAGACACGGCCCAGACUCCUACGUGAGGCAGCAGUGGGGAAUAUUGGACAAUGGGCGAAAGCCUGAUCCAGCCAUGCCGCGUGUGUGAAGAAGGUCUUCGGAUUGUAAAGCACUUUAAGUUGGGAGGCGGUACCAACAGAAUAAGCACCGGCUAACUCCGUGCCAGCAGCCGCGGUAAUAC